UACGUAGGAGGCAAGCGUUGUCCGGAUUUACUGGGCGUAAAGCGCGCGCAGGCGGCAUGGCAAGUAAGGUGUGAAAACUCCAGGCUCAACCUGGAGACGCCACCUCAUACUGCUGUGGCUAGAGUCCGGUAGGGGAGCAUGGAAUUCCUGGUGUAGCGGUGAAAUGCGCAGAUAUCAGGAGGAACACCAGUGGCGAAGGCGAGUCUCUGGACAGUUACGUGACGCUGAGGCACGAAGGCCCAGGGGGAGCAAAACGGGG
rnacentral:rRNA from 1 species